GACGAACGCUGGCGGCGUGCCUAAUACAUGCAAGUCGAACGCAGUGGGGACGGGUGAGUAACACGUGGGUAACCUCCCAUCAGAGGGGAUAACACUUGGAAACAGGUGCUAAACCGAUACUGAUGGAUGGACUCGCGGUGCAUUAGCUAGUUGGUGAGGUAACGGCUCACCAAGGCCACGAUGCAUAGCCGACCUGAGAGAGUGAUCGGCCACCCGUGUAGUGAGAAACGGCCCAGCCUCAUUCGGGGGGCAGCAGUAGGAAAUCUUCGGCAAUGGACGAAAGUCUGACCGAGCAACGCCGCGUGAGUGAAGAAGGUUUUCGGAUCGUAAAACUCUGUUGUGUGAGAAGCGGUAUCUAACCAGAAAGCCACGGCUAACUACGUGCCAGCAGCCGCGGUAAUAC
rnacentral:rRNA from 1 species